AUACGGAGGAUCCGAGCGUUAUCCGGAUUUAUUGGGUUUAAAGGGUGCUCAGGCGGGCGAUUAAGUCGGCGGUGAAAUUUUGCGGCUCAACCGUAAAAGUGCCUUCGAAACUGGUUGCCUUGAGUGUGGAUGAGGUAGGCGGAAUUUGUGGUGUAGCGGUGAAAUGCAUAGAUAUCACGAGGAACUCCGAUUGCGCAGGCAGCUUACUAAGCCAUAACUGACGCUCAAGCACGAAGGCGUGGGGAUC
rnacentral:rRNA from 1 species